UGCGCGAUACAUGCUAGCUAGACAAUUUUCACAGAGAGCCUAAUUAAGAACAGGUAUAUAGUUUCCAAAAUACUUUAAACGUUAUAUUUAUGUGAUAAAGUUCAAUUCGACCAAGCAACGCAAUACACCCAAAGAAGUGAAGAAAGAUCAACAAAACAACGUGCUACCAAACCAACACGGAGGACGACAUCAUGAUCAACCAUUAUGUUUUUAUUUUAGUCUCUCUUACCUAAGCCCUGGGUGGGCAUCUAGUGAGUGUGACCACAGCAAGUAUAACCUUGAUAACCCCUGUCUAAACAAUUAUAAAAAAAAGCAGUUUGUGUGCGGUACAAAGUUUUUCUCUCCUGUUUGAAUAGUAGAAGCUUGUUAUCAGCUACCUUAAUUCAACUAUAAUUAAGUAUUUUACUGUGGGACUGCAAGAUGGUAUGAUUAAUAAUAGACGCUGGUUCCUAUGUGGCCAGAAAAAUUAGCAGUCUGUUUUCAAGGCAAAGUGCAAAGGCCGUGACAACAGGUGCUGCUGCAUCAUCAUGUCCUUUUCGAGAUGAAAGCCCUGUGAAAGAAGUAGGAGAAGAUGAUGUUGUAAAAGAUAAUAAAGAGUAUGAGAGGAUGCAUGACAACGAAAA